AGCUGGGACCGAAGACUCUAGGCUAAGUUAUCUCUCUAUGUAGAUGGUGUCAGGGAGCGAAGCUACUGACCGAGCCGCUGUUACAUCCAGCUCUUUAUUGCCUGAGCAGUCUGGGGCUUGCUUCGUCACUUGGCUUUGCUUCGGAGCACUCCUGUAGAGCUCUCUGAAUUGCACAGUGAAGAUCCACCCUUUUGGCGUCACGGAUGACGGGACCUCAUUCCAUAGUCAAACUUUGGACCUAUGGCGCUGCCACCCUCCUGUGAUGGCUCAUCAAGGCAGCUGUGCUGUAUUCACAUUGAAAUGAGGAGAUUUUAAAAACCCAAGCAGCUGUAUUAUUCAGACUUAAAAUAAAAAGCUUAGUUUCCCCA
rnacentral:lncRNA from 1 species